rnacentral:rRNA from 1 species
AGUGAACGCUGGCGGUAGGCCUAACACAUGCAAGUCGAACGGCAGCACAGUAAGAGCUUGCUCUUACGGGUGGCGAGUGGCGGACGGGUGAGGAAUACAUCGGAAUCUACUUUUUCGUGGGGGAUAACGUAGGGAAACUUACGCUAAUACCGCAUACGACCUACGGGUGAAAGCAGGGGAUCUUCGGACCUUGCGCGAUUGAAUGAGCCGGAGUCGGAUUAGCUAGUUGGCGGGGUAAAGGCCCACCAAGGCGACGAUCCGUAGCUGGUCUGAGAGGAUGAGCGGACAAACGGGAACUGAGACACGGUCCAGACUCCUACGGGAGGCAGCAGUAGGGAAUGUUCAGCAAUGGGCGAAAGACUGACGGAGCAAUGCCGCGGGAGUGAUGAAGGGCUUCGGAUCGUAGAACUCUGUUAUUAGGGAAGAAAAAAUGCGUAAGUAACUAUGCACGUCGUGACGGUUGAUAAUGAGAAAGACACGGCUAACUACGUG